AAGGAAUUCCCAGAGGGAAAUUAGGGUGUAAAGAAAGUAAAGAAGAGGUGGAGACUCCGAGGAGCUGAAGAUCUGGGAUCCCGAAACCUCCAUCUGAAGCGGCUGCAAUCCCGCCGGAAGUGGGUGCUUCCAACCGGAGGCGCCAUCGGCGUCUCACGAAAAAGACGAAGAGCCGGCGCGGAUGAAGAAGAAGUGGAUGAAGGAGAAGUCCACACUGCUCCUACCCAGAGGCGCCAUCCACGCCUCACGAAAAAGACGAGGAGCCGCC
rnacentral:lncRNA from 1 species